UUUGGAUGGAUAAACCCAUUGCCUACGUACCAUCUUAAAAAAGAUUAGGAUCAAAACCUCGUAGUUCGGGGUAAAAAAUCUUAAAAUGAGUUGGUGAAUUGAUUGGUCCAAAAGCCUUAAGGUCUUUUGUUAUCCAAGGGAGAAAACUCAACCUAAAACCAUAAAUCCACCAUGUGAAGAUAGCUUCGACAUGCUAGUGAGGGGUUAGCCCUAUAAUAAGCAUGGAAGACUCAUUGUCC
rnacentral:lncRNA from 1 species